rnacentral:misc_RNA from 1 species
UUACAGCUCGGAUAGAAGCGGUUACCCCGCAGUGAGGCGGCGGAGCAAAGCGUAGCCGACCGAGCGAGGAGUAUGAGCGGAUAGCCGGAAUAGCU